UGGGGAAUAUUGCGCAAUGGGCGAAAGCCUGACGCAGCCAUACCGCGUGUGUGAAGAAGGCUCUAGGGUUGUAAAGCACUUUCAGUAGGGAGAAAACGCUGAUGGUUAAUAGCCAUUAGAAUUGAUGUUACCUACAGAAGAAGCACCGGCUAACUCCGUGCCAGCAGCCGCGGUAAUACGGAGGGUGCAAGCGUUAAUCGGAAUUACUGGGCGUAAAGCGCGCGUAGGCGGUUUGUUAAGUCGGAUGUGAAAGCCCCGGGCUCAACCUGGGAAUUGCAUUCGAUACUGAUGGACUAGAGUACGAGAGAGGGAGGUAGAAUUCCACGUGUAGCGGUGAAAUGCGUAGAUAUGUGGAGGAAUACCGGUGGCGAAGGCGACCUCCUGGCUCGAUACUGACGCUGAGGUGCGAAAGCGUGGGGAGCAAACA
rnacentral:rRNA from 1 species